CAAUAGCGUAUAUUAAAGUUGUUGCAGUUAAAAAGCUCGUAGUUGGAUUUCUGGUUGAAGCGACCGGUCGGGCGUUGAUUCGUCUGCACUGGAGUCGGUUUUGGCCAUCCUCUAGGAAAGUGCGUCUGGUAUUAAGUUAUCGGGCGUAUGAUCCUGGUCUUUUACUGUGAAAAAAUUAGAGUGUUUAAAGCAGGCCUUCGCCUUGAAUACAUUAGCAUGGAAUAAUAAGAUAGGACUUUGGUCUAUUUUGUUGGUUUGCAGACCGAAGUAAUGAUUAAUAGGGAUAGUUGGGGUAUUUAUAUUCCGAUGUCAGAGGUGAAAUUCUUAGAUUUUCGGAAGAUAAACUUAUGCGAAAGCAUUUACCAAGGAUGUUUUCAUUAA
rnacentral:rRNA from 1 species